UUGACCUCAAAUCAGGUAGGACUACCCGCUGAACUUAAGCAUAUCAAUAAGCGGAGGAAAAGAAACCAACAGGGAUUGCCUCAGUAGCGGCGAGUGAAGCGGCAAAAGCUCAAAUUUGAAAUCUGGCGUCUUUGGCGUCCGAGUUGUAAUUUG
rnacentral:rRNA from 1 species